rnacentral:lncRNA from 1 species
AUAGAUGUAUAAUAGAAACGUUAAACCUAUUAUGGAGGGUGUCAUUGCUCAAACAAUUUAGGAAAACUAAGCUCUACUAGACAAGCUUCCAACUCAGCAUUCUUUGUGCAAAAUAAAGGAAAACCUCAAAAUAAUUCUAGCAAUACUACUCAAAGUAGUGGUCCACCACCUACCUAUUUCAAAGGAAAAACUAAAAAUCAGAAAUAUAAUAACAAGGGAAAUUAUUUGUGUGACUACUACAACAAGAAGGGAC